rnacentral:rRNA from 1 species
AGUGAACGCUGGCGGUAGGCCUAACACAUGCAAGUCGAACGGCAGCACAGGAGAGCUUGCUCUCUAGGUGGCGAGUGGCGGACGGGCGAGGAAUACAUCGGAAUCUGCCCAGUCGUGGGGGAUAACGUAGGGAAACUUACGCUAAUACCGCAUACGACCUUCGGGUGAAAGAGGGGGAUCGCAAGACCUCUCGCGAUUGGAUGAGCCGAUGUCGGAUUAGCUAGUUAGCGGGGUAAUGGCCCACCAAGGCGACGAUCCGUAGCUGGUCUGAGAGGAUGAUCAGCCACACUGGAACUGAGACACGGUCCAGACUCCUACGGGAGGCAGCAGUGGGGAAUAUUGGACAAUGGGCGCAAGCCUGAUCCAGCCAUACCGCGUGGGUGAAGAAGGCCUUCGGGUUGUAAAGCCCUUUUGUUGGGAAAGAAAUCUUUCAGGCUAAUACCCUGGGAGGAUGACGGUACCCAAAGAAUAAGCACCGGCUAACUUCGUG